GGAGAGUAAGCGUAUCUGGUGUAUGCCUUGGGCUUCAAACCCACAGAGUGCCUAGAUGUCUAGGUGCUGAGAAGUUCGAUUCUUCUACUCUCUCGCCA
rnacentral:tRNA from 3 species